rnacentral:snoRNA from 12 species
GAGGCAUGAUGAAGAGUCUGAACAGUCUGAUCAUCUCUGAAGACUGAUAAGAUCCAACUCUGACCUCAGUAGAGUC